rnacentral:rRNA from 1 species
UACGGGGGAUGCAAGCGUUAUCCGGAUUUAUUGGGUUUAAAGGGUGCGUAGGCUGUGAGGUAAGUCAGCGGUGAAAUGCCCCCGCUCAACGGGGUGAAGUGCCAUUGAUACUGCCUUGCUGGAAUGCGGAUGCCGUGGGAGGAAUGUGUGGUGUAGCGGUGAAAUGCAUAGAUAUCUGGAGGAACAUCAGUGGCGAAGGCGGCCACCUGGACCGGUAUUGACGCUGAGGCGCGAAAGCGUGGGGAGCAAACAGG